rnacentral:misc_RNA from 1 species
GGUGAAGAACGUAGUGAAAUGCGAUACGUAAUGUGAAUUGCAGAAUUCAGUGAAUCAUCGAGUCUUUGAACGCACAUUGCGCCCCCUGGUAUUCCGGGGGGCAUGCCUGUCCGAGCGUCAUUGCUGCCCUCAAGCACGGCUUGUGUGUUGGGCCUCCGUCCUCCUCCCGGGGGACGGGCCCGAAAGGCAGCGGCGGCACCGCGUCCGGUCCUCGAGCGUAUGGGGCUUCGUCACCCGCUCUUGUAGGCCCGGCCGGCGCUUGCCGACACAUCAAUCUUUUUUCCAGGUUGACCUCGGAUCAGGUAGGGAUACCCGCUGAACUUAAGCAUAUCAAUAAGCGGAGGA